rnacentral:tRNA from 1 species
UUUACCUUGGUGUAAGGCACGUAAAAUUUUGAUUUUUAAGGAAAUUCUAUUUAGGUAAAU